UCUACUGGAUCAGAUUCUCUUCAGUAUAUUUCUCCACAAGGUUUCAUACAAUGCAAUCAAAUCACCUUUCAGUCUUCUUUUUGAUAAAACAAAUGGAUGGACUUGUUACAGUCUUCACAGUGAGAAGAAUGUUAUACAAACCACUGAGAAUGCAUGUCAAAUUGCUCAUCCAUCAUUACUCAGCUGAAUAUCAGCUUUCCAGGAUGUAGUUCUUCACUCUAUUAUUACCAAAUAUUUUCUGUGGGCAGUGUAAAUCCAAUUCCCAUUGACCACAAUGACCAAAAAUGUAGUAUUGUUGGAGAUACAAAAUUGUUAAUGUAGUGAUAUAUUGGUUUCAUAUGGGAAAAUACCAUGUGCUCCCCUCCUCAAGCUGUAGCUUCACAGUAUGUCAGCUUCAGUGACAAUAACAGUUUAAAGCAUUCCCAACCCCUUCAUCCCUUCAGAUGUGCAAUUGCAAGUGUUCAUGAGGCUCUCA